rfam:Thielaviopsis punctulata NODE_1810, whole genome shotgun sequence.
GCCCUAAUGGCGCAGUGGUGCAGCGCCUGGUGGCUUUUCAAGUUUGGCUAACUCGAGAGGUCGUCGGUUCGAAUCCGGCUUGGGUCG